GACGAACGCUGGCGGCGUGCUUAACACAUGCAAGUCGAACGGAAAGGCCCUGCUUUUGUGGGGUGCUCGAGUGGCGAACGGGUGAGUAACACGUGAGUAACCUGCCCUUGACUUUGGGAUAACUUCAGGAAACUGGGGCUAAUACCGGAUAGGAGCUCCUGCUGCAUGGUGGGGGUUGGAAAGUUUCGGCGGUUGGGGAUGGACUCGCGGCUUAUCAGCUUGUUGGUGGGGUAGUGGCUUACCAAGGCUUUGACGGGUAGCCGGCCUAAGAGGGUGACCGGCCACAUUGGGACUGAGAUACGGCCCAGACUCCUACGGGCGGCAGCAGUGGGGAGUAUUGCACAAGGGCGGAAGCCUGAUGCAGCAACGCCACGUGCGGGAUGACGGCCUUCGGGUUGUAAACCGCUUUCGCCUGUGACGAAGCGUGAGUGACGGUAAUGGGUAAAGAAGCACCGGCUAACUACGUG
rnacentral:rRNA from 1 species